CAUGCUUGAAAUGCAUAGAGAAAGCUAAAAACAAUAAACGGUCAUACUGAAACUGGCUGUUAAGCCAGAACCAGGAUUGCCUUACCCCUUUGUAGGGUGGAUAGUACCCUACACACCUGCAGAGUUUCAGCCUCCUAGCGUUUUCCCUCUUGGA